AGCAUGUGGUUUAAUUCGAAGCAACGCGAAGAACCUUACCAAAUCUUGACAUCCUUUGACAACUCUAGAGAUAGAGCUUUCCCCUUCGGGGGACAAAGUGACAGGUGGUGCAUGGUUGUCGUCAGCUCGUGUCGUGAGAUGUUGGGUUAAGUCCCGCAACGAGCGCAACCCUUAAGCUUAGUUGCCAUCAUUAAGUUGGGCACUCUAAGUUGACUGCCGGUGACAAACCGGAGG
rnacentral:rRNA from 1 species